AUGCGUGAGGAGUCGGAGGAGGCAGCAAUCAACCUGAACGUUACUCAGACACAAGAUGGGCUCACUACACAGCCACAGCGAAAAAGAACAGUUAAGCCAGGCAAGGCUGCACGGUCCCCUUUCGUUCUAGGCAAUUGGGUUAUUAGCACCCAGCCAAAAUAUAUCAAGCUCACAGCCGAGCAAAUCAGGGCGAACCUUUCGCAAGGGGGUGUGAUAGAGAAUGAUUUGAUGACAGUAGCAGUUAGAAGAUACCAGCAAAUUGACUAUAUUUUUGCAUUGGAUAAAGAUGAAGGGUGCUGGCGACAUUGGCUUGAGCCAGACUUUGUGAUAUUUGUUUAACAGAACCAUGUGAUCGUGAGGUAUGUCCAGGACAUGUUCAUCGGGGAACAUAUCAAGUAUGACGUGCACAGAUGCACAGAGGUAUUUCCUGAGAAAAAUAAAUUGUGA
rnacentral:rRNA from 1 species